GGCAUUUUUUGCCGGCAAGCCGCUGGCGUGCCGAUGGGGGGCCCCCUAGCCGCGCCCGUGGCGGGGGUCCUCUUGCGGGAGAUCGGGAGUGCCGUUUUGCCGAGGUUCGGGCCACAGUUGGAGGCAUGCAUUUGGUGCGUCGAUGACGUGUUGGCGGUUUGGGAGAGCGGGGAUGGGUUGCAGGAGUUCCGGGGGGCCUUAACGCUGGGGCAGUGUGGUGUGUCCCUGAGACAGGAGCGGCGGGGCGCGACACGCAUGCACUGCCUUGACAUGGCUGUCAUGCUGGACGGGGAGCGGUUGACCACCACAGUGUGCCGA
rnacentral:lncRNA from 1 species